rnacentral:rRNA from 1 species
UACGUAGGGGGCGAGCGUUGUCCGGAUUUAUUGGGCGUAAAGAGCUCGUAGGCGGCUUGGCAAGUCGGGUGUGAAACCUCCAGGCUCAACCUGGAGACGCCACUCGAUACUGCCAUAGCUAGAGUCCGGUAGGGGACCACGGAAUUCCUGGUGUAGCGGUGAAAUGCGCAGAUAUCAGGAGGAACACCGGUGGCGAAGGCGGUGGUCUGGGCCGGCACUGACGCUGAGGAGCGAAAGCGUGGGUAGCAAACAGG